rnacentral:rRNA from 1 species
GACGAACGCUGGCGGCGUGCUUAACACAUGCAAGUCGAACGGAAAGGCCCUGCUUUUGUGGGGUGCUCGAGUGGCGAACGGGUGAGUAACACGUGAGUAACCUGCCCUUGACUUUGGGAUAACUUCAGGAAACUGGGGCUAAUACCGGAUAGGAGCUCCUGCUGCAUGGUGGGGGUUGGAAAGUUUCGGCGGUUGGGGAUGGACUCGCGGCUUAUCAGCUUGUUGGUGGGGUAGUGGCUUACCAAGGCUUUGACGGGUAGCCGGCCUGAGAGGGUGACCGGCCACAUUGGGACUGAGAUACGGCCCAGACUCCUACGGGAGGCAGCAGUGGGGAAUAUUGCACAAUGGGCGGACGCCUGAUGCAGCAACGCCGCGUGCGGGAUGACGGCCUUCGGGUUGUAAACCGCUUUCGCCUGUGACGAAGCGUGAGUGACGGUAAUGGGUAAAGAAGCAGCGGCUAACUACGUG